AGAGUUUGAUCCUGGCUCAGGACGAACGCUGGCGGCGUGCCUAAUACAUGCAAGUCGAGCGGACAGAUGGGAGCUUGCUCCCUGAUGUUAGCGGCGGACGGGUGAGUAACACGUGGGUAACCUGCCUGUAAGACUGGGAUAACUCCGGGAAACCGGGGCUAAUACCGGAUGGUUGUUUGAACCGCAUGGUUCAAACAUAAAAGGUGGCUUCGGCUACCACUUACAGAUGGACCCGCGGCGCAUUAGCUAGUUGGUGAGGUAACGGCUCACCAAGGCGACGAUGCGUAGCCGACCUGAGAGGGUGAUCGGCCACACUGGGACUGAGACACGGCCCAGACUCCUACGGGAGGCAGCAGUAGGGAAUCUUCCGCAAUGGACGAAAGUCUGACGGAGCAACGCCGCGUGAGUGAUGAAGGUUUUCGGAUCGUAAAGCUCUGUUGUUAGGGAAGAACAAGUACCGUUCGAAUAGGGCGGUACCUUGACGGUACCUAACCAGAAAGCCACGGCUAACUACGUGCCAGCAGCCGCGGUAAUACGUAGGUGGCAAGCGUUGUCCGGAAUUAUUGGGCGUAAAGGGCUCGCAGGCGGUUUCUUAAGUCUGAUGUGAAAGCCCCCGGCUCAACCGGGGAGGGUCAUUGGAAACUGGGGAACUUGAGUGCAGAAGAGGAGAGUGGAAUUCCACGUGUAGCGGUGAAAUGCGUAGAGAUGUGGAGGAACACCAGUGGCGAAGGCGACUCUCUGGUCUGUAACUGACGCUGAGGAGCGAAAGCGUGGGGAGCGAACAGGAUUAGAUACCCUGGUAGUCCACGCCGUAAACGAUGAGUGCUAAGUGUUAGGGGGUUUCCGCCCCUUAGUGCUGCAGCUAACGCAUUAAGCACUCCGCCUGGGGAGUACGGUCGCAAGACUGAAACUCAAAGGAAUUGACGGGGGCCCGCACAAGCGGUGGAGCAUGUGGUUUAAUUCGAAGCAACGCGAAGAACCUUACCAGGUCUUGACAUCCUCUGACAAUCCUAGAGAUAGGACGUCCCCUUCGGGGGCAGAGUGACAGGUGGUGCAUGGUUGUCGUCAGCUCGUGUCGUGAGAUGUUGGGUUAAGUCCCGCAACGAGCGCAACCCUUGAUCUUAGUUGCCAGCAUUCAGUUGGGCACUCUAAGGUGACUGCCGGUGACAAACCGGAGGAAGGUGGGGAUGACGUCAAAUCAUCAUGCCCCUUAUGACCUGGGCUACACACGUGCUACAAUGGACAGAACAAAGGGCAGCGAAACCGCGAGGUUAAGCCAAUCCCACAAAUCUGUUCUCAGUUCGGAUCGCAGUCUGCAACUCGACUGCGUGAAGCUGGAAUCGCUAGUAAUCGCGGAUCAGCACGCCGCGGUGAAUACGUUCCCGGGCCUUGUACACACCGCCCGUCACACCACGAGAGUUUGUAACACCCGAAGUCGGUGAGGUAACCUUUUAGGAGCCAGCCGCCGAAGGUGGGACAGAUGAUUGGGGUGAAGUCGUAACAAGGUA
rnacentral:rRNA from 1 species